GGAGUUUAAAGCUUCCUCAGUUCUGAAGCUGCUUUUGAUUCUGUCCCUUGCAGGAACACAAGGAGAAGGCCUCUGCGUGGUAUUCCAGCUCUGUGCCGUCUGGGAUUAUCGAGGCUCGCGGCUCGGUGCAGAUCCCGAUCACGCUUGAGGCUCAGCAGCUGGGACAGUGCAGCGCCACUGCUGAGGUGGCCGUGUUUGGGAGAGAAGGAUCCCCGCUGGAGCUCCAUUUACAGUGCAUUGCCCAUGGACCAGUUGUCCAUGUCCAUCCGACAAAGUUAAACUUUGGCACUAUCUCAGUCUUGAAAGACAAAUCCAAAAUUAUCCACCUGGAGAAUCACGGUGCCAUUCCUGCACCCUUCCGGCUAGAGAUGGCUAGGAAACACUCAUGCUGGAGGAUUGAGCCCUGUGAAGGAGUGGUCCACCCUAAGUGUGAGGUGUUGGUGACUGUGACAGCAAGCCUGGAUGACGCUGUGGAAUUCAAGGACGAGGUGAAGGUGUUCAUUGAGAACAGCCGUACGACCAUCAUCCCUGUCCAGGCUGUGGGCAUUGGCACCACAAUUGUCACCGACAAAAAUCUGCAUCCGGAGCUCGACUUGAAGUCCCACUUCAGCUGCAGUCCCUGCAGUUACCAGUUCACGGUGACCAACCGAGGCCGCCGCGCCCAGCGGCUGCACUGGAGCACAGAAAGUGUCGGCAGGGCUGGGCAGAGCCCUCGUCGCCCUGCCCGCCGUGGCAAAAAGAGUAAAAAGGCUUCCCGGAGCUGCAGCCGUGGCUCCCCAGUGUUCAAGGUGCGGCCGCUGCAGGUGGAGCUGAGGCCGGGCCAGAGCGCGGAGAUGGUGCUGGAAGGCUGCUCCAGCACUGCCCAGGAGGUGAAGGAGUGGCUGCUGUGUUAUGCUACAGUGGGGAAAGAGAUAGAAGAGAAACAGAUCAUGCAAGUGAACAUCACCUGCAACUUCAUUUGCCCUGCUGUGCAAAUGUCUUCCACAGCAAUCACCUUCCGUGUAGAAAAGAAACCCAGUGAUGCCCUGACGCUGCAGUACCAGCCUCUGUCGGUGAAAAAUGUCUGCUCGCUGCCGUUCAGCAUUGUGCUGCACUUGGAGCACCCGUUCCGAAUCUGCAGCAAGGACCAGCAGCCCAUCCCUGCAGAUUCCAAGGUGA
rnacentral:lncRNA from 12 species